AGCAUGUGAUUUUAACUCUGUGUGUGUGUGUGUGGGUGUGUCAGUCAAUCGUAGCGGUCUGCGUCUGUAUAAUCUGUGCAGCCAGCAUUCCAAUGUAGCCUGUAUUUGUAAACAUUGUUGCAAUGCCUCUUUUUAUCUGGCU